rnacentral:tRNA from 1 species
GCCUCUUUAGCUCAGUGGCGGAGCACUGGUCUCGUAAACCAAAGGUCGUGAGUUCGAUCCUCACAUGAGGCA